UGUUUUUCAAAGUUAUGUGCCUUAUAAUGUUCAUGUGAUCACAAGUGCAUUGUAAUGUUGUGAGUGGUGAUUCUCGAAGUAUCGAGAAUGGGUUUCGACG